GGGAAAGAAAAAUAAAAGGAAAACUAAGGAUUUAAAGCUUCAAGUUAAUUGCUAACAAGGAAAACGAGGCAUCGGCAUCUAAAGGAAAAGAAAAGAUCAUUGAGGAGUAAACGCGUAUUCCGGGAUGAAAACGGGUUAGAGUCUCGGUUCAGCAUCCAGGACAAUCCCGACUCCGACAUAAAAAUUUUGAUAAUCGGAAGCUCGUUUGGGUUGGAAGCUUGGCGGAAAUCCAUCACACUAUCCAUCGGCUAAAUCGGUAGAUUUUGAUGAUUUUGAGUUAUGGUUAUAAUGGCAUGUAUAGGUAUCUUGUUUAAUGAAUUUAGCCGUUAUGUGUGUCUUGUAUAUGUGUUAUUUUGGUUGAUGAACUAGUUGGUAUGAUAUUAAGAUUAUAUGGUAUUUUGUGUGGUUGUUAAUUUGAUGUUUAUGUUGGUUAAAAUGGUGGUAAGGAAAUGUUGAUGGAAAUGGCAUGGUAGCAAUUACUGGUUGGUGUGGAAUGAAUGUAGUAUGAUGUUGAAAAUGGCUAGUUUUGGUAGCUUUGAAUGUAGUUGGCCUUGGUCUAAUUGGUAAGAAGCAUGAUAGAAGUGUAAAUGGUUAUAAUAGUACUUAUUGUGCAUAUAUUUUGGUGUAUGAACAUUAUGGCAAAUGUGGAUUUAUAGUUGUUCAAUUGGUAUGAUUUGAACAUAAAUGAAUUUGAUAGAUGUUAGGCAAGUUUGAUUGAUGAAAUUGAGGUAUCAUUUUUUU